GCCCCGCCGAUGCCGUCCCGGCAGCGCCCGCGGAGGGCGCGCGCGAUGCCCGGGCCUGGCGGCGUGAGGGGCGCUGAGGGCCGUGAGGGGCCCGGCGCACAGCAGCGACAGCGCUGGGGCUACUCAAACCUUAUCUGUUCAUGAUGAAUUAAAACCUUAGGAAAAAAGCCCUCUCUCCUCCUAGAGAAGCUCCUUGGAGUCAAUGAAGAAGCUGGGAGUUCAUAAGAAGUUUGGAGGUGACACAUCCAGGACAGCUGACCCCAACUGAUACAAGGCUUUUUCCAUAUUUUGUGAUAUAAAGAAGGGAGAAGAAAGAGGAAGUGGGGGGAUCUUUGAAGUGAUAGCAUUUGUCUUUGGAAGUAAUUGUUACACAUGCUGGAGCCCUGCUGUCCUGGAGGUGGCUGAACACCUAUCUGCCCAUGGAAGUCUCAUUGCUGUUUCCAGUAAAUUGUUCCUAUUUCAACCUGUGAUCUCUGCGUUUUGUGCCUCUGACUGGAGAUGGAGCGGGGAGCAAGUUUAAGUGUGAACAUUAAACUGGAGAAUACCAUUCCUAAAUCACAACAGAGUUUUGGUGAGAGAGUGGAGAGAAAAGAGGAAGGCUCAAGCUAUUUCUGAACGUGUGGUUGAUGAAGGUGUGGUUCCCACUCUGUGGUCUCGAGACAUCCAGUGCAGCCAGAGG